UUUGUUGAAUUGUACUUACUGUAAAAGACUGAGCCUUUUGACAAAACAACAGCAAAAAAUCCCAAGUCCAAGAGCUUAAAUUUGUGCAACCCAAAUGGAAACUGAGGGAGAUGAAGCCUCUCAUCAACACUGAAAAUGGAGCAAACUCACAAACCACAGUCAAUUACCAUCCACCUCAAGCAAAGGUUCAGUUUUGCCCGAAGAACUCAUCAUAGGAAUUCUUGUAAGGGUUCAAGUGAAUUUCCUUUUACAGUUUAAGUGUGUCUCAAAAGAUUGGUUUGGUUUAAUAUCUAGUCCUGAAUUUGUGAAGACCCAUGUUAGUUUUUCUGCUAAGGAUUACACCCGCCAUAUAUCUAUGAUGAAAUUUGAGAACAUUCGUCACAAUCUUAAAUAUUAUUCUGUUAAGUCUUUAUUUUAUGAGCCUGUUACUGAGGCAUUACACUUGGAUUAUCCCAUGAAUCUGUUCUUGUUUGGGUUCUGUUAAUGGUUUGAUUUGUCUUUCGAAUGGGUUUGAGGGUUUGGUUAUGUCAAAUCCAUAUUAGAAAGUUCAAGCAAGUGCCUCACUUUAUGCCUACACAGACUUAUGAGUACUGUUCCAUGUAUAGUUUUUGAUAUGAUGAAGUUCCUAAUGAUUAUAAGGUAGUAGAUAUUUUUAGUAACAUCAAUAAUGGCUGUGUCGAGUCCAAAAUAUAUAGUUUAAAGAGUGAUUCUUGGGGAGGAGUUGAUGAUUUUCAAUGCGGAGUGCUAUACUGUGGUUGGGCCUAAGUUCGUGAACAAGAAGCUUCAUUGGGCUACUACUGGUGGUGAUGGUUGGAGCAUCAUGUCGAUUGAUUUGGUUGAUGAGAAAUAGGGAAAAGUGGAGCAGCCCCGCUAUGGAGAAUGAAAUUUUUGUUUGAAGCUUGGAGUGUUGGGAAAUAAUCUCUCUGUGCUCUGUAAUUCUCGGUGAACUCACUCUGAUGUGUGGGUUAUUAAGGGGUAUGGGGUUAAAGAGUCUUAGACAAAACUUUAUACUAUCAACUAUCCUAAUGAUCCUGAGAACUACGAGCUUUCUCCACCACUUUGUAUGUCAAAUAAAGGUGAAAGUUUGCUUGUGUUUGAAUCAACUUUAGCGAUAUACAAUCCAGAAGAGGACUCAAUCAGUUAUCUGGAGGUUACUAACAUUGAUGGCAGUAUUGAGGCGGAUAUCAACAUUGAAAGAAUAGUUUGUCCAAUUUUACAAAUGAACAUUUAAGGCUGCUAGAACUCAGGUGAAUGACAGUCGUAUAGCUAACAACUUGUUGCUGUGGAAUCAUGCAUGUGUACAGGGAAACAAACUAACUAAUUGUUGUUUUGGCAAUAUUUUGGGCAACUCCACUACUACUACUACUACCACCACUAUAACUAACUGUAUUAGAUGCGGUAUAUUUGCUAUACUAUUAUUACUAGUGUUAUACACAAAUGUCUGUACUUGCUGUAAUAGGUGACCAUGAGGGGGCUAGUAUGUUAUAACACACCUCCAAAAUUUUGUUUUUGAUUUCUUCAGUGAGAACUCUUAAGGUACCAUGUUUUGUAGAAGAGUCGUGGUUUGUAAAAUCUAUGAUGCUACUUAGUUAUAUAUAGUAGUACUAUCUGCUUAAGCCAAACCAGAAAAAGGAGGAAGAAAAGCUCAUACAUUCAAGGACAAGGUGAAAACUUCUCUAUAUGCACAGGAUCAUAUAUGGUUAUUAUGUAUCCACAUUGAAUACACUAAGCUCUUGAGUUUUGUAAA